rnacentral:lncRNA from 1 species
AGCCAAGGGAGGAGCAUCAGAAAAAACAUUCCACUGGCGAGGAGGAAUGAUGAAAGCGCAGCAGCCACACUCAGUGCCAGGUCUGGGACAGACUGGAAAGAGAACGGCAAGGUGGAGCCUAAGCUGAGGGUUCCUUAAUCUGAGUGGAAGAAUCAGUUGGCAAAUUGAGGAGAAGUAUUGAAGCUCCAAUUGGCAGACCCUGGAGAUUUACAUGAUGCAAAUAUAAAGAAACUGAAAAUUGAAGGAAACAAGGCAAACAUUGUAAUGGAAUAACAAGGAGCAUUAGAUGGAACUGGUCAGAGAAGCAGAGCUGGAUGAAAGAGGGUAUGGGAAAUUUUGCUUUUACCACAAAGGGGCAGUGGAUCAGAAAAGACAUUAAUCCGAGCUCCAGAAGAUACAGCAGAAGUGAACAAGAGAAAGAGGGCCUCUCUGAGGUUCCUAGAUGAAAAUUGAAGCCCACUGGAAAAGUGACAACAAUCUCUGCAAUAAAGGCACACCGGACCACCGUUCUUGAUUUCCACUCGGGCAAGUUGGACUAUCUCUCCUGUUUCUACUUUAAAAGUUCAGCACCCUGCUGGAACCCGGUCCUGUGGACACCAGCAGCUCGCGCCCUGCCUGACCUCGCCGCACAUACGUACAGGAUCAUGCCGCACGGAUGCCGCGAGGCAUCUGAAUCCACACAGCAGAGGCGCCAGGGGGAACAUAAAAGCCAUGAAGAAGUGAAUGACAGAGAGGGCCUUUCUGACGCUCCUCAAGGAAAAUUGAAGCCCACUGGGAAAGUGAAGAAAACUCUUCAAUAAAGCACACCAGACCAUCGUGGUUGUAUGAAGGACUUCAUUGUUGGAUGGAAUGGAAUUUGUUUCACAUGAAAAGUCCAGAAACCUUCUCUCCUACUUCUCCAUCUUCAGAAUCUUCAGAGCUUCUCAAGGACACUUCUGGAUAAGAGAACAAAAUCUUUCUCUUGAAGUUUCUCACACUAGAGAAACUACUCACUAUUUACACAUGUGUGUCCUAUUUAUUUCACUUAAGUGUAUGUGCAUCCAUUUAGCUAUAAAUGUCUCUAGUUUCUCAUUCUUUAUGGCUGAGUAGUACUCCAUUUUAUAUAUUAAAAAAACCCAUAUCUUCUUUAUCCAAUCACCAAUUGAUGGGCAAUUGGGCUGUUUUCG